CCUACGGGAGGCAGCAGUGGGGGAUAUUGCACAAUGGGGGGAACCCUGAUGCAGCGACGCCGCGUGGGUGAAGAAGCGCCUCGGCGCGUAAAGCCCUGUCAGCAGGGAAGAAAAUGACGGUACCCUAACAAGAAGCCCCCGCCAACUGCGUUCCAGCAGCCGCGGUAAUACGUAGGGGGCAAGCGUUAUCCGGAUUUACUGGGUGGAAAGGGGGCGCAGACGGCGGUGCAAGCCAGGAGUGAAAGCCCGGGGCCCAACCCCGGGACUGCUCUUGGAACUGCGUGGCUGGAGUGCAGGAGGGGCAGGCGGAAUUCCUGGUGUAGCGGUGAAAUGCGUAGAUAUCAGGAGGAACACCGGUGGCGAAGGCGGCCUGCUGGACUGCAACUGACGUUGAGGCCCGAAAGCGUGGGGAGCAAACAGGAUUAGAUACCCCUGUAGUC
rnacentral:rRNA from 1 species